rnacentral:piRNA from 1 species
UGUGCACUGUGUGAACUGUGGUUCUAGA